rnacentral:rRNA from 1 species
GACGAACGCUGGCGGCGUGCUUAACACAUGCAAGUCGAACGGAAAGGCCUUUUCGGAGGUACUCGAGUGGCGAACGGGUGAGUAACACGUGGGUGAUCUGCCCUGCACUCUGGGAUAAGCCUGGGAAACUGGGUCUAAUACCGGAUAGGACCGCACUUUAGUGUGUGUGGUGGAAAGUUUUUUCGGUGUAGGAUGAGCCCGCGGCCUAUCAGCUUGUUGGUGGGGUAAUGGCCUACCAAGGCGGCGACGGGUAGCCGGACUGAGAGGUUGGUCGGCCACAUUGGGACUGAGAUACGGCCCAGACUCCGACGGGAGGCAGCAGUGGGGAAUAUUGCACAAUGGGCGCAAGCCUGAUGCAGCGACGCCGCGUGGGGGAUGACGGCCUUCGGGCUGUAAACUCCUUUCGCCAGGGACGAAGCGUUUUGUGACGGUACCUGGAGAAGAAGCACCGGCUAACUACGUG